GAUUCUUAUCCACUGCGCCACCACGGAAGCCCCGCUUUCUAUCUCCUAAGUCUCAAGAGGUCCCAGAUUUCGACCAGAGCUGGAGACAACCACACACUCUCCCUGGUGAUGAGAUGAUUCAGCAUCCUCCAGAGAUGCUGGACCUUGAGCUCGAUGCCACUUCAGGACUUCAGCUGGUUUCCUGUGGAAGAGGUGUCAAUUGCAGAUAAGCAUGAAUAUAAAAGUAAAAGAAGGCAAGCAGGAAGAAGACGUAUUUGUUCUGUGCAGACUGGAUUCAGGGACCGUGGAAUACCCCAAGGAAGGCAAGUGGAAUCACCAUGAGGACCAGGCAACUGCUGUUCUCCUCAUGAACAAUAAAGGACUUUCAUAUUAUUGUUGUGUAGCACUUUAGCGACAUCCUGUGUUACCCCUCCUCCUCAGAGACAGCCCCCAGAGGAGCCUUUUGGAUAACUUCCUGAUUCUGGGACUCUACUGCUGACCAGGUGUAAAUCACAUUCCAAAACUGAGAACAAUCCCUUUAUGGCAAGAUCACAAUGAACUACGCUUUAGAUCAGCAAGCCCAGAUGAGACAACUGAGCAACAGAACAGUCGAUUGCUCGGCGGGAUUUGAAGCCAGAGGGGUCUGACUCAAAAAUCCCUAACUCUUGACUUUAGGACACUCUCUAUUAUUCUAAGGCAGGUUCUGUCCGAACUGCCUACACAUUCAUACAAUGUAUACAAACGACAAACAUCUAAAAGGGCUUGUGAAGUAAAAUUCGUAUUUUAUGGCAAGACAAGAGAAAUUUAAACAUAAGAAAUUUUCUCUGCCCUUUGGCCUCCUCUCUCCCCGCACUGUGCGUUGUGUAUCUGCAUUAGGCAUCGACCAAACCUCUCCCAUCGGCAGAAAUACCUGCUCGACCAUGAAGAGACGCAUCCUCUUAGCAUCAAUAAGACAACUCCUUAAAAGAUAACAUUCCUGGGCUUCCCUGGUGGCGCAGUGGUUGAGAAUCUGCCUGCCAAUGCAGGGGACACGGGUUCGAGCCCUGGUCUGGGAAGAUCCCACAUGCCGCGGAGCAACUAGGCCCAUGAGCCACAAUUACUGAGCCUGCGCGUCUGGAGCCUGUGCUCCGCAACAAGAGAGGCGGCGAUAGUGAGAGGCCCGCGCGCCGUGGUGAAGAGCGGCCCCCGCUCGCCGCAACUAGAGAAAGCCCUCACACAGAAACGAAGACCCAACACAGCCAUAAAUAAAUAAAUUUAAAAAAUUAAAAAAAAAAAAGAUAACAUUCCUUCCUGAUCUUGUAAGGGGUCACAUGACCCACCACGAUGACGCUUAGAUCUGGAUUAUGUGAACUGUCAAUAAUACAUCAUUUGAUGUACAGCCCUCUGUCUCAAAAAACUUAUAUAAAGGACGAACAGUUCUCAGAGCUUUCGGAGAAGCUCUUCUUGGGUCAUAAUCUUCAAAUUUGGCUGGAAUAAAAUUUUCCAUUUCUUUCUUAGAUCGAGGGAUUAAUUUUUCAUCGACAGGCUAAAACACAAGGAGAAAUCAUAAGCCCUCUAACGUAUGAUUUGCCACAUCUGUGGCUAAAAGAAGCCUCUUCCAGAAUUGUGUGUGUCGGGGGGAGGAUCAUUUCUAAAUCUCAUCACCCGUUACACUUCCUCACCUGGCUCUUUCUCAGAGUCGGGAACUACAUGCCUCACUGCAGCAACGCCUCCAUUCUGGGCUCAAAAGAGGGAACCUUGAGGGAACGGGGCAUUUGCCUGUUUCAGACUCUUGAGGAAGAUCUCUGACAUUCAUUUUCCCUUUCUAAGUGCUUCUACUGAGGUCUGGGAAUGAAAAGCCCCAGGCUUCCCUGAAGUGUCACAGAGUUAGUCAGCCCUUCCUGAAAGCAAAAGGUACUCCCAUUGAAGAGUCACUAGGCGGAAUCACCUGCUAUUAGCACUUUCUACAAGGAAGUGGCUGCAGACAAGUGUCUUCAUUUGCAGAAACCACUGGUGUUUGUUUUGGAGACUGCUUUCUCCAGAAACUCUGAGGAAACUAGCCUUGGACUAAACACUCUCUAACAACCUGUUACAGUUUCUGGUACACUGACUUCCUGACUUGGGAGCUGUGGUUUUGAUGCCUUUUUUAACGUUGAAAUCGGAGUGACAAAGUGGUCACAUGUUUCCAUCUUGCAAAGUUAUUUCCCAUGAAUGGAACAAUGCUACCCUUUACUUGCUUCUUACCUUAGAGACUAAGAUUUGAUAACCUUAUGGGAAAGUUCAUCACCCAUAAAUUUUGGAUGUGUGAUGGUGAUUUCUGGUUUCAUUAGACACUGACAGAAAUUAGAAUAAUGUUUUUUUUAGAGCCUGGAAGUAUAUUUAAACUAUAACAGUGUCGGCUUUGUAGGCUGUCCAUCUCCAAUUAAAGUCAUAUAUUUUAUAUUCUGACAUCCAAGUACUAUGGUUAAGUACCAAAGCUGGUACUGUGUCUCAUUCUGUGAAAGACUUGAGUCAGCUUGCAAAAUUGCAAGGGAAAAAUUUUGAUUGGAAUAUAAGAUUGAACUUGUGGGGAGAGUAAGAAAACAGCCUCGUGACUGAUGGGGGUGGGAAAUGUGUCUUGACUGAAAGCCUGUGCCCUGCAACAAGAGAGGCCGCGACAGUGAAAGGCCUGUGCACCACGAUGAAGAGUGGCCCCCACUUGCUGCAACUAGAGAAAGCCCUCGCACAGAAACGAAGACCCCACACAGCCAAAAAUAAAUAAAUAAAUGUAUAAAAAAAAAAAAGAAGAAAAGAUGGACAUACAGGAAACUGGUCAAAAAUGACCUAUGGCAGUAAAUAAAAGUUUCAGAAUUGAAAGCAGUGACUUGAAGAGAUAUUUGUACAUCCAUGUUCAUAGUGGCAUUGUCCUCAGCAGCCAAAAGCAACUCAAGUGUCCCUGAAUAGAUAAAUGGAUGAAUGGAUAAUCAAAAUGUGGUCCUUGCACACAAUGAGAUAUUACUCAGCCUUUCAAAGGAAGGAAAUUUUGACAAAUGCUACAACAUGAGCAAACCUUGACGUGCUAAGUGCAAUAAAUCAGUCAUGAAAGAACAAACACUGUAUGAUUUCACCUAUAUGAGUAA